UGCUGACAAUGAUGUUUUAUUAAACAAUGGGAAUCUCUCUGAAAAAGAGUGAAAGACAAACUGUUUUCUGAUGCAGUG